rnacentral:rRNA from 1 species
UACGAAGGGGGCUAGCGUUGCUCGGAAUUACUGGGCGUAAAGGGCGCGUAGGCGGCCAGUUUAGUCAGAGGUGAAAGCCCAGGGCUCAACCUUGGAAUUGCCUUUGAUACUGGCUGUCUUGAGUUCGGGAGAGGUGAGUGGAAUGCCGAGUGUAGAGGUGAAAUUCGUAGAUAUUCGGCGGAACACCAGUGGCGAAGGCGACUCACUGGCCCGAUACUGACGCUGAGGCGCGAAAGCGUGGGGAGCAAACAGG